GCGAUCAUACCAGAACUAAUGCACCGGAUCCCAUCAGAACACCGAAGUUAAGUUUGCUUGGGCGAGGGCAGUACUAGGAUGGGUGACCCCCUGGGAAGUCCUCGUGUUGCACCU
rnacentral:rRNA from 1 species